GAUGAUACAAGACGUGAUUAAUGUUUGUUAGAAAGGAAUUUCUCGUGUUAAUUAAGAAAAACAUAGAAAGCACAUGAUCUGCCAGAAGAAUCCUAAGGGGUACCAAAUGGCUUGGUUGACUAUGAUGAAGAGUCGCACAACUCUGAAAAAUGUCACCAAAAACAGUCAAGUUGAUGCCAAGAGAGGAAGUCAACAAAGAUAGAAGGCACAACCACUAAUUAUUGCAGACAAGAGAGAAGGAAGACAAAGAGCUGGCAGCAAUGAAA
rnacentral:lncRNA from 1 species